rnacentral:rRNA from 1 species
GAUGAACGCUAGCGGCAGGCCUAAUACAUGCAAGUCGAGGGAGAAUAUUGGAUUCGUCUGACAUGAAACCGGCGCACGGGUGCGUAACACGUAUGCAACCUACCUUUAACUGGGGUAUAGCUCAGAGAAAUCUGAAUUAAUCCCCCAUAAGACUACGACAUGGCAUCAUGAUGUAGUUAAAGCUCCCGCGGUUAAGGAUGGGCAUGCGGUACAUUAGCUAGUUGGUGAGGUAAUGGCUCACCAAGGCUACGAUGUAUAGGGGGUCUGAGAGGAUGAUCCCCCACACUGGUACUGAGACACGGACCAGACUCCUACGGGAGGCAGCAGUAGGGAAUAUUGGUCAAUGGACGCAAGUCUGAACCAGCCAUGCCGCGUGAAGGAUGAAGGCCCUAUAGGUCGUAAACUUCUUUUAUUAGGGAAGAAAAAACGGGAUGCGUCCUGUACUGACGGUACUUAAUGAAUAAGGAUCGGCUAACUUCGUGCCAGCAGCCGCAGAA